rnacentral:lncRNA from 1 species
AGAACAAACAUCUCAAAAAUAACUACGUAGGUUGUUUUUUUAAAUAUUUCAUAGUCAUUAUAUAUUGUGUUUGUUGAUAUAAAGUUUCUCAACAAAUGUGAAAAAGCGAAAAAAAAAACUGAGGAAAAGAGGGAAAAUGUAUGAAAUAUAGGUAUUAGCUAAAAAUAUUAUGGCCUUCUUUUUUCUUGUGGGCAACUUUUCUGUCAGCAAUUUUCCGACAACUUAUAAUGAUAAAGAAGGAUAAAUCCUAAAAGGAAAUUUCAAUGGAAAGAUACUUAAAAUAAAUUUUUUUCCAAUUUUCUCAGAAGUUCCCAAUAAAUGUAAAAAACCGAAAAAAACGGAGGAAUACCAGAAAAACGGGAUCCAUUUUAAUUUUUAAAUUGGAAUAAUCGGAAUUUUACCAUAAUAUUACAUAUUAUUGUUGACAAAGCAGCACGCCUAGGCUACUGAAAAUUGGUAUAACAUUAAACAAAUAUUAAAUAAAACGUUUUUUUUUUUUUCGAAUCGUUUUUUCGUUAGCAAUGGUUUAUCAUUGCUUACAGGUGUACAUUAAAUUUCUUAAAACGGUGGCUGCGCCCGUCCCUAUUAUCCUANUUCUCAGAAGUUCUCAAUAAAUGUAAAAAACCGAAAAAAACCGAGGAAUACCGGAAAAACAGGAUCCACUUUUAAUUUGGAAUUUGGAAUAAUUAGAAUUUUACCAUAAUAUUACAUAUUAUUGAUAACAAAGCAGCACGCCUAGGCUACUGAAAAUUGGUAUAACAUAAAAUAAAUAUUAAAUAAAACCCAUUUAAUUAUUUUACUAUAAAAUGACAUAUAUAUUGUUGACAUAGCAUCAAUAUCAAUUGAACUCCGUUUAGAAUCGUUUUUUCGUUAGCAAUGGUUUAUCAUUGCUUACAGGUGUACAUUAAAUUUCAUAAAACGGUGGCUGUGCCCGUCCCUAUUAUCCUAGGGCGUCUUUUUAUUAUAUUCUUCGCCUAAUAAUUAACAUAAAAAUACAAUUUUAAAUAACAUAAAAGAAUAUCUACUUAUUAUUUAAUACUUUUUAUAAUAGAUGGCAUUCUAUAGGCAACAAUUGUAUCUUUGAUCGUGGUACCUUAAGCAAGUAUACUUUAAUUUGAUUCAUUAAAUAGACAAAAGGUUUNGUCUUUUUAUUAUAUUCUUCGCCUAAUAAUUAACAUAAAAAUACAAUUUUAAAUAACAUAAAAGAAUAUCUACUAAUUAUUUAAUACUUUUUAUAAUAGAUGACAAUCAAUAGGCAACAAUUGUGUCGUUGAUCGUGGUACCUUAAGCAAGUAUACUUUAAUUUGAUUCAUUAAAUAGACAAAAGGUUUUAGAAGUUUAAAUACAAAUAAAUUAUUGCACAAAUUAAUCAUAUGUUUUCGCUUUUUUUGUACCUACUGAUGAUUUUGUAAAACUAUAACCUGUGGUAAACACACACAACAUUAUACAAUAUUCUAGGCUUUUAUAAUGAUAUUUUAGAUUUUUUAUUUAGACAAAAUUUAUAUGUUGUAUAUAUAAUAUUAUCAUAAACCUCAUAACGUUAACAUUAUUUAACAGUGGUGUAUAUAGGAAAAGGCGCAGUGGGCCAUAGAACCUCUAGAAAUUUCUUUCAAGCACUUUUAAAAUUAACAGGAAUGUGACAUUUUUUUCCGUAAAUCGUCUAAAACAAGUUAAUCAUUUCCUAUAUUAUAUGUUUCAAAUUAAAUACUGAUCAGUGAUUACCCUGUUUAGUAAAAUAUUUUUUAAAGCCAGAGUUUUUGAAUUUCAUUUAUUAUCAUAAUAAUAAAGGUUUUACUAACGGUUAUCUAGAUAAAGGUGGUUUUACCUUAUCAUUAAGACAAAUUAGGUUAAGUUCGAAAACACAGGUAGGUGAUUGUAGCAGAUUGAUGUAAAUAGCACUGUUAAACAGAAACCCACACACAAUCUCUGUCUAUUUUCUCACAUUUGUCUACGAUCGAAACCUAAGUAUUUUCAUCUUCGUUUACACUCAUUCUCUGUUAUAUUUUCUAUACAAUUAGCAGUUACCAUAAUAUUUUUUUUUUUUUUUUUUUAAUCUAGUGCCACAUAGGAUCCAAAGUCUCGAAUUUAUUACAGAAAUAUUACAAUAUUAAAGUUUAAUUAUAUACAUUUCAUGAACCAUUAUGAACAUGGUAGUGUAAUAUGGUAUUUACUAUUUCGCCUAUCGAAUUUUAUUUACUAAUUUAUUAUUAACGAUUACAAUAAUAUUACUGUUACAUUUUUUUCAUAAUAUUUUAAGUACAUUAUCUAUAACAUUUAUUAUUGUACUAUUACAUAUUAAAUAUCAUCUAUCUUAUAAGUUUAAUGAUAUUAAAUGCGAUUGAUAAUACAAAACGUUUAAUUUUAUUGAUCUAUCACAAAUUUACAAUUUAUUCAAUAUAAUAUACAUAAUUAUAAAUAUAAUACAAUACAAUGCAAUAUAUUUUUUAAUUUUCUUUUAAUAAACAUUUAGUAGUGAAAAACAAAAAUAUGGGCGAAAUGUCUAGUUCCAACAAAAUCGGUUUAAAUGGAACUCNUCUAUUUUCUCACAUUUGUCUACGAUCGAAACCAAUCCUAUGUUUCUUCUAAUGUACUCAUUAUUUAUCCGAUUGUCACUCUACUUAUCCACCUAAGUAUUUUCAUCUUCGUUUACACUUAUUCUCUGAUAUAUUUUUUGUACACCACCCAACACUCGGACCAUACAACAUAGUUGGUCUCAUUACAGUUUUAUAGAACUUACCUUUUAAUCGUAUUCGAAUUCUAUUGUUAAAUAAACACCUGACGCUUCUCUACAUUUUAUCCAACUACACUUUAUCGUAUGUUUCGAAUUUUCACCAACCACCGUUCUUUUGUACAAAAGACACAUAAUACACUUAACCUCACUAAACAUUUCACCACUUAUUGUCGUUAACUAUUUUGCUCAGUUUUUCUAAACUUUUAUUUCUACUUAUCCUAAGUUUUUUUUCUUCAAAUGUUAUCUACAUUAUUCUCUCCUAUCAAAGCUAUAUCAUCUUCAAACAUAAUUCACAAUAAUACCUCUACUAAUCGGUUUUCCUCUUGUAUAUCCUAGAAAGGACAAGCUAGAUGGGAGCACUUGUUUUCGAUCUGAAGCAACCCUUUUUGUCACCUCGUAUGACAGGUAGCGUGGGAAUAUUGUGAUCCUCUCGCACAAGGAAAAUUUACUUAAAUAUUAUCUAUUUUAUUAGUUAAAUUUAUCUUGCCUCAAUAAUUUAAAUAUAUAAUUUAUUCAUGAAUGAAUUAUUUGUAUGGCCGUAAUAGAAGUAAGCAAUUUUUUUGGUUAGUUAUAUUACGGUUAUGGUUAUUCUCUUGAUAACUAGGUUUUUAUAGCUCAAAAAGAAAUUCUAUGUAUUUCAGCUAUAAUGUGAAUGGAAAUUAUUUUCAUACAAUUAGCAAUUACCAUAAUAUUUUUUUUUUUUUUUUUUUUUUUUUUUUUAAUCUAGUGCCACAUAAGAACCAAAGUCUCAAUUUUAUUACAGAAAUAUUACAAUAUUAAAGUUUUAUUAUAUACAUUUAAUGAACCAUUAUGAACAUGGUAGUGUAAUAUGAUAUUUACUAUUUCGCCUUUCGAAUUUUAUUUACUAAUUUAUUAUUAACGAUUACAAUAAUAUUACUGUUACAUUUUUUUCAUAAUAUUUUAAGUACAUUAUCUAUAACAUAUAUUAUUGUACUAUUACAUAUUAAAUAUCAUCUAUCUUAUAAAUUUAAUAAUAUUAAAUGCGAUUGAUAAUACAAAACGUUUAAUUUUAUUGAUCUAUCACAAAUUUACAAUUUAAUCAAUAUAAUAUACAUUAUUAUAAAUAUAAUACAAUACAAUGCAAUAUAUUUUUUAAUUGUCUUUUAAUAAACAUUUAGUAGUGAAAAACAAAAAUAUGGGCGAAAUGUCUAGUUCCAACAAAAUCGGUUUAAAUGGAACUCAGCCUCGCAAAAGAAGAAAAUAAUCCACAUAUACCACAUUAUUAGCUGUUAUUUGUGAACAAUCCCCCACGUCUGUUCCGUUGUUCAUUUCUAUCUUUCUCAUCUUCUUCUCCUUCGCUUUCAUUUCUAAAAUUUUAGAUCGACCACCCUCGUCCUAAAGACUUCGAUUUUACCCAAUCC